GGCCUUGUAGUUGAAUAACAACAUUAAACUGCAACUUUAAAAGUGUAUAAAUUACCAAGGCCU
rnacentral:tRNA from 1 species